rnacentral:rRNA from 1 species
UACGUAGGGGGGCGAGCGUUGUCCGGAUUUAUUGGGCGUAAAGAGCGUGUAGGCGGCCAGGUAGGUCUGCUGUGAAAACUCGAGGCUUAACCUCGAGCUGUCGGCGGAAACCAUCUGGCUAGAGUCCGGAAGAGGAGAAUGGAAUUCCCGGUGUAGCGGUGAAAUGCGCAGAUAUCGGGAAGAACACCCGUGGCGGAAGGCGGUUCUCUGGGACGGGUACUGACGCUGAGACGCGAAAGCGUGGGGAGCGAACAGG